rnacentral:lncRNA from 1 species
CUUGUGUGGUUGCUCCUUGCUCCUGCAAUGCAUUCCAAUUCUAAAUUCUCAGCUACCCUGGAAGAAAAAAAUUAACAGAGAGAAGUUUAGAACAUAAGCUUUUGGAUUGGUGCAAGAUGAAAUGUUCUAUGAUGAAACUGUGAGAGAUGUUCCCUGCAAAUGUCUUGACGUUGUCUUGGAGCACAAAUGUCUUAGGUUGUGUUGGAGUGGUCAGCUUUGGCUUUUUGACCUAAAAUGUUUCAAAGUUGUAACAGAUUGGCAGGCAAACAACAAUUGGCAUAACCAUGCAAGCGUAUGUGAUUGAAUUGACUCAAACUAUAUCUAGUUUGGAUAUAUUUCAAAAUGUACAUAAUUUGGCUUGUUCCGAUCUUACUCAUGCCUAAUUAAGAUGCAGAAAGACUUCCACAAAUGGUAAAAUUAUGAAACAUACUAAGCAUCUACGUAGCUAAAGUAAAGAAAAGCAUGAAAACAAUAUGUACAGUUAAUUAGUGGUGAAACAAGAAGUACGCCCUGUCUGCUGCACACAGUCAUGUGAAGCCAUGUAUAACUAAUAAAGUGCAGACCACAUAGACAUGUCAUUUUGCUUCGUAAGUAGUAGGGCAAGCCAACAGACGCUGGUUUGCGAAAGCUAAAGCUAUACAUAGUUAAUCAAAGAUGAGGUAUUUGAUAAAAUGACAACACUUUUCCUCGUACAUUUAUCAUAUGACCCACCUUUCUUUUUUUUUUGAUAAAAUUGCACAUGCUUCAUUGAUAGCUAGACAAAAUGGCACAAGCGAAACUUUUUCCUCUAUUUCUACAUAUGGGCCCGCACAUCAGAUUAUUUGGGACGGUUUUGCCCUUUAGCUUGUUUCCUCUAGUUCAAUUAAACCUAUCAGUCGAUACAAGAAACAGGCACGAGACAGGAGGAUAGGAAGAACAGCUCUGCCGUCCUUCCUAUUGACAAGCUGUGCGUUCCCCAUUGCCAUCUCGCCAUGCUUAGCCCGUUCUCGUGCCAUCGCCUCGCCGCAGCUUUUCCCCUUUGUCUCCAACAAACAGUGGCCACUUUUUCAGACCGUGCAGUUUGAUUCCUGCUCUCAAGUCCUCCUAUCCUCGCAACUCCACAUCCCUACCCCAUGUUGUGAAGUGUGCCAUAUCAUGUGUAUGUUGAUUACAUCCCUACAUGCUGCCAAAGUGUGCUACCUAAAUAUCUGAAUCAACAAGCAUCCAUAUCCUGUUGUUGUCAGAAGCUGCAACUAAGCUAGCAACUCGUAGCAAUAUUUAGAGCCAAUUACUUUCUUCAGGCAGCAACUACGUCCGUUACAAAGAUAGCAUCGAGCAAGUACAAAAGCUACAGCUAGCCAGUAGCUUUAGCGACGUGAGCGAACAACGCACGCUCUAGCAGGCCGAGCGACCAAUGCAAGCGAGCGAACCACAAGAGGGACACCCAAUAUGGUGCACGGCAGCGUCGACAUCAGGGCAUAAGAGAGGGUCACGCGGCGGCAUUAAGAAGAUGUCAAGGCACACUUCGAAAGAACAGCGCGGCGAGAGCAAGAAGCGGUGCUUGCCUUCCGCCGCUUGGCGAGGGUGCAUCGAGGUCACCACGAGACAUUCACGCCUCCCCCUCCACAUGAAUGGACGGGUGGGCAGAGCACGGCAAGGCGACGGCGGGAGAAGAGCAGCGCCUGGGAGGAAGGAUGGCGAGGUGGCGGCCCUGUUGUUCCUCUCCUUCUGUCUCGCGGCUAAUUUUGGUGCAGGAAGGCAAAAUCGUCCCAAAUAAUGUAACGUGCAGGCUCUUUGAUCUAGAAAUAGAGGAAAAAGAUCAGUUUGUGCCCUUUUGGCCAACUAUCAGUCUAAAGUGUGCCAUUUUAUCAAAGAAAGUGAAAGGUGUGUCAUAGGAUCAAAGUAUGAGGAAAAUUGUGUCAUUUUAUUAAAUUGCUCUUAAAAGAUGCGGGUAGGAAUCAUGUUGUGAUAGCAGAUUAAAGUGAAGCUCUCUUACAACAAGCAAAUGCAACCAGCUUAAUGGCAAGUCAUUCUAUCAUACUGGCAUAAUGGGAUUCGAGGUAGCACCUGCUAGUAAACCAGAUUAAUGUACUCGCUCCUUUUCCGCUAAAAGGGCGAACUACCGAUUCGUAAGUUACAGGGUGGGAUAAAGAACAGAAAAUGUGUACACAAGUUGCAGGACGCACCACCAAUGUGAUUGCUCCAUCAGAUCUGAAUCUGAUACAUGAGUUCCCUGAUUAAUGCUGGUUGGUCCUAAUGGUGAGAUUUGUUGACAACUAAUCUGGAUAUAAGAGGCGUGAGAUGCGUAAAUGAAAGAUGUAUUGUUAUGAUGGUAAACUGUAGAGCAGAUGGGAUUCGAGGGAGCACCUGCUUGAUUACUGUAUAAUGGUAAAUUGUACAGCAGAUGGGAUUCGAGGGUGCACCGGCUUGAUGUGGCAGAAUUUUGGCAGGAGGAUGACGCCGGCCUGGACCCGGCUUGCGGACGUUGAGGACGACGCCAAGAGAGGUGCGGCCUGGGGACGAGGAGGACAAGGGAAGCCGGCCGGGCACUGACUGGUGAGGUCGUCGACGGAGGAGACCAGACGUAGCCGGCAGAGCGCACCGCUCGGGGUGAGGCUUGGAGCCGCCGCAGAUUGGAUAUGGUGGGUUGAAGAAAUUGGGAGCGGAAAAG